rnacentral:rRNA from 1 species
AUGGCCAUGCUGAGGAAGUACUUCAUGGUGCUCCUCCUGGCGUCGGGCCUGCUCCUCGGUGCGGCCGCCGUCUUCCUCGUCUACUUCUCUUUCCUGUGCUCCUUCAGCGUCGUCGUGGCGGUGGACGAGCCCGGCUGCCACGGCGCGGCCGCGUUAGGCAGGGCGUGGAGGCUGGCCAAGGGGAAGAGGAGGCAGGUCGUGAUGUACGUCGCCGUUAUCGGCGCCCUGGCCGCCGUCUUAUCGCCGGUGCACACGCUCGCGACGACAUGCCCGGGCGGUAGCGUGGCGCUUGGGCUGCUCCUGGGUUUUGUAUACGCGGCUCUGAUGGCACUGGUGCAGCUGUUCGCCGUCUGCGCCAUGACCGCGUUCUACUACGAGCGCAAAGAGAACAGCGACAACCAGCUCGGGGCUGCUGGAUACGCCAAGUUGUCGUCAACGGAAGAAGCAACCGCUUGA